UACCAGCACCCCGAGUGGUCGGGACGUUUAUUGGGCCUAAAGCGUCCGUAGCCGGUUCUACAAGUCUUCCGUUAAAUCCACCUGCUCAACAGAUGGGCUGCGGAAGAUACUAUGGAGCUAGGAGGCGGGAGAGGCAAGCGGUACUCGAUGGGUAGGGGUAAAAUCCGUUGAUCCAUUGAAGACCACCAGUGGCGAAGGCGGUGUUCUGGGCCGGAACUGACGCUGAGGAGCGAAAGCGUGGGUAGCAAACAGG
rnacentral:rRNA from 1 species